rnacentral:rRNA from 1 species
ACUCCUACGGGAGGCAGCAGUGGGGAAUAUUGCACAAUGGGCGCAAGCCUGAUGCAGCCAUGCCGCGUGUGUGAAGAAGGCCUUCGGGUUGUAAAGCACUUUCAGUCGUGAGGAAGGUGGUAGUGUUAAUAGCACUAUCAUUUGUACGUUAGCGACAGAAGAAGCACCGGCUAACUCCGUGCCAGCAGCCGCGGUAAUACGGAGGGUGCGAGCGUUAAUCGGAAUUACUGGGCGUAAAGCGCAUGCAGGUGGUUGUUAAGUCAGAUGUGAAAGCCCGGGGCUCAACCUCGGAAUAGCAUUUGAAACUGGCAGACUAGAGUACUGUAGAGGGGGUUAGGAAUUUCAGGUGUAGCGGUGAAAUGCGUAGAGAUCUGAAGGAUACCGGUGGCGAAGGCGGCCCCUGGACAGAUACUGACACUCAGAUGCGAAAGCGUGGGAGCAAACAGGAUUAGAUACCCCUGGUAGACUGUCA